rnacentral:rRNA from 1 species
ACGGAAGGCAGCAGUGGGGAAUAUUGCACAAUGGGCGCAAGCCUGAUGCAGCGAUGCCGCGUGAGGGAAGAAGGUUUUCGGAUUGUAAACCUCUGUCGACAGGGACGAAAAUGACGGUACCUGUGAAGGAAGCUCCGGCUAACUACGUGCCAGCAGCCGCGGUAAUACGUAGGGAGCAAGCGUUAUCCGGAAUUACUGGGUGUAAAGGGAGUGUAGGCGGGACCGUAAGUCAGGUGUGAAAUAUGCCGGCUCAACUGGCAGACUGCAUUUGAAACUGCGGUUCUUGAGUGAAGUAGAGGUAAGCGGAAUUCCUAGUGUAGCGGUGAAAUGCGUAGAUAUCAGGAGGAACACCGGUGGCGAAGGCGGCUUGCUGGACAGUAACUGACGUUGAGGCACGAAAGCGUGGGGAGCAAACAGGAUUAGAUACCCUGGUA